rnacentral:tRNA from 1 species
CAGAUUAAACUUAAAGUUAGAUUUUUCAUUUACACUGAAAAUUUUAUUGUGCAAUUCAAUAUAAUCUGA